ACAAGCACUCAGGUUUUUCCAUGACUGGACGAUACAUCUCUUAAUCUCCAACGAGCACACAUUCAGCAAUGAUUUGACCGUUUUUGAAGCUACAAAAUCAGCAGGCAGAUGUGAUCCAUGCAGUGAAAGAAAAUAGCUCUAACACACACCCACACUCCCAUUAACUGGACUUCAGUAUUAUGGAGAGAGAGAGGAGAGGCAGGGAGAGGAGAGAGUGGAGGUGACGUGCAGCCCGGGCCACCCACACUGCUGCAGUCACUCUGCAGCCAUCCUGUCUCGCCUCGACAGAGCUGACAACUGAGCCUACAGCUGACAUCAAAACCUGACAUUCCAGCUGUUCAAGAGGGGUUUGCAAACGACCUGUGGCUAAUUGAAGAGAAUAUUCCAGUUUGGGAGAAAAUACGGCUCCCAAAGAGCUCAUAGACCAUCAAAGGGACAAACUGGAGAAGAGAAAGACAUCACAGGACACCCCAAGAAACAGAACUGGCUGAGGCUUCCCAGGCAGCCCAUCUUCCAUUAAAAUGGCAGCUCAGGUCCACCAAACCACAUCAACAGAUCCCUCCAGGAGCAUCAGUCCCAUGUUCGCCAAGUCCUGCAGAGGCUCCUGGAAAACAAGCUAUAUGUCAAGGCAGAGAAAUUCAAGUUCCACAUCAGUACUGUCUCCUUCCUUGGCUAUAUUGUUGAGAGCGGGCAGCUGCGAUGGGAUACUAGUAAGAUCCAGGCAGUUGCCAAUUUGUCAGUGCCGUCCUCCGGUAAACAGCUCCAGAGGACUUGCCAUUUCUACCGCCAGUUCAUAAGAACCACCAAACCAUUGCCACCCCCCUGACCCGACUCACCUCUUCCCUGAUCCCCUACCUCUGGAGCUUGGAGGCAGAACUGGCAUUCACCCAGCUCAAGGAACUGUUCACCACUGCACCAGUUCUCACUUGACCCAACCUCUCAGGCCAGUUCCUACUGGAGGUAAAUGCAUCGGAUGUAUGUGUCGGGGCAGUGCUGUCUCAACGUCCGGGUCCUAAUCACAGACAACACCCCUGCACCUUUCUCUCUCGACGUUUGUCCCAGGCCGAGAUCAUUUAUGAUGUGGGCAACCGAGACCUGUUGGCCGUGAAGCUUACCCUGGAGGAAUGGAGACGCUGGUUGGAGGGGGCAGAGAAGCUUUGUUGUCUGGACAGAUCACAAAAACUUAGCCUAUCUUCAGUCAGCUAAACGGUUAAAUUCAAGCCAGGUAUUUUGGCAGGUUUAGGUUCAACAUUAUUUAUUUUCCCAGGUCAAAGAAUAUUAAACCAGACACGCUCUGCCGCCAGUUCGAUGCUGACGAGUCCUCCACUCCCCCAGAGACCAUCCUGCCAGCUUCAUGGGUGGUCAGGGACUUUAUGUGGCAAGUCAAGGCAGCUGUCCGUGAGGCCCAGGCUCAGAGCCAGAUCCAAGUGACAGCCCACCUAAUAAGCUCUUCGUGCCUCAGACCGCUUGCUUUCAAGUCCUCCAGUGGGGACAUUCCUCCCGCCUGUUCUGUCACCCUGGUGCUAUCCUAACCCUAUCCGUCCUCCAGUGACGUUUUUGGUGUCCUACUAUAGAGGCAGACACUAGAGAGUUUGUAGCCGCUUGCUCCACUUGUGCUCAAAAUAAAUCUUCUCACUCUGCUCCUGCUGGUUUCCUUUGUCUUCUGCCUGUUCCUAGUCGUCCCUGGUCCCAAAUUGCUCUGGACUUCAUUACUGGCCUCGGCCCUCCAAUGGACACUUUGUCAUACUCACCCUUAUAGACCGCUUCUCCAAAGCAGCUCACUUUGUGGCCUUGCCCAAACUCCCUUCUGCCUGAGAGACGGCUGAAGAGACCUCCUAGCCCUGCAUGUGAGGCGCCUGCAUGGCAUCUCCACAGAUAUCGUCUCUGACAGUUUGUGUCUCAAAUCUGGAGGGCCUUUUGUUCAGUGCUGGGGUCAUCUGUGAGUUUGUCCAGAAUACAUUUUGUUACUGCAACCAGCUGUGCCAAUUUAAUGACUGGCACACACACCAAUUUGGAUAUGUAUUGCUGUUUCCACUGUACGUGCAUUUUGAGCAACAUAAAAGCAAGAUACAUUUUAACAGUCCGACUCAUUUGUCAUUUUUUUA